rfam:Ciona savignyi cont_48971, whole genome shotgun sequence.
GUCGUCGUGGCCGACUGGUAAAGGCGACAGACUAGAAAUCUGUUGGGCUCUGCCCGCACAGGUUCGAAUCCUGUCGGCGACG